CCUACGGGUGGCAGCAGUGGGGAAUAUUGGACAAUGGGGGGAACCCUGAUCCAGCCAUGCCGCGUGUGUGAAGAAGGCCCUCGGGUUGUAAAGCACUUUCAGUGAGGAAGAACGCCUGGUGGUUAAUACCCAUCAGGAAAGACAUCACUCACAGAAGAAGCACCGGCUAACUCCGUGCCAGCAGCCGCGGUAAUACGGAGGGUGCGAGCGUUAAUCGGAAUUACUGGGCGUAAAGCGCGCGUAGGUGGCUUGAUAAGCCGGUUGUGAAAGCCCCGGGCUCAACCUGGGAACGGCAUCCGGAACUGUCAAGCUAGAGUGCAGGAGAGGAAGGUAGAAUUCCCGGUGUAGCGGUGAAAUGCGUAGAGAUCGGGAGGAAUACCAGUGGCGAAGGCGGCCUUCUGGACUGACACUGACACUGAGGUGCGAAAGCGUGGGUAGCAAACAGGAUUAGAUACCCCAGUAGUU
rnacentral:rRNA from 1 species